rnacentral:rRNA from 1 species
UACGAGGGGGGCAAAUGUUGUUCGGAAUUACUGGGCGUAAAGCGCGCGCAGGCGGUCUUCCAAGUCAGUGGUGAAAGCCCGGAGCUCAACUCCGGAACUGCCAUUGAAACUGUAAGACUUGAGGAUGAGAGAGGUGAGUGGAAUUCCCAGUGUAGAGGUGAAAUUCGUAGAUAUUGGGAAGAACACCGGUGGCGAAGGCGGCUCACUGGCUCAUAUCUGACGCUCAGGCGCGACAGCGUGGGGAUCAAACAGG